rnacentral:rRNA from 2 species
ACAUCUGAAAGGGACUAAAGAUUUAUCGGUGAUGGAUGGGGAUGCGUCUGAUUAGCUUGUUGGCGGGGUAACGGCCCACCAAGGCAACGAUCAGUAGGGGUUCUGAGAGGAAGGUCCCCCAUAUUGGAACUGAGACACGGUCCAAACUCCUACGGGAGGCAGCAGUGAGGAAUAUUGGUCAAUGGGCGAGAGCCUGAACCAGCCAAGUAGCGUGCAGGAUGACGGCCCUAUGGGUUGUAAACUGCUUUUAUAAGGGAAUAAAGUGAGAGUCGUGACUCUUUUUGCAUGUACCUUAUGAAUAAGGACCGGCUAAUUCCGUGCCAGCAGCCGCGGUAAUACGGAAGGUCCGGGCGUUAUCCGGAUUUAUUGGGUUUAAAGGGAGCGUAGGCCGGAGAUUAAGCGUGUUGUGAAGUGUAGACGCUCAACGUCUGCACUGCAGCGCGAACUGGUUUCCUUGAGUACGCACAAAGUGGGCGGAAUUCGUGGUGUAGCGGUGAAAUGCUUAGAUAUCACGAAGAACUCCGAUUGCGAAGGCAGCUCACUGGAGCGCAACUGACGCUGAAGCUCGAAAGUGCGGGUAUCGAACAGGAUUAGAUACCCUGGUAGUCCGCACGGUAAACGAUGGAUGCCCGCUGUUGGUCUGAAUAGGUCAGCGGCCAAGCGAAAGCAUUAAGCAUCCCACCUGGGGAGUACGCCGGCAGCGGUGCAACUCAAAGGAAUUGACGGA